AUCCCAUCACAAACCAGACCACACAUCUCAACAUUAGUCAACUCUGUUGGACAUGUUAUGUUAGUGCUGAUGUUAGAGAUCAGAGUCUGCCUUCAUUGAACAUGAUGCUGAUUUCUGCUGCCGCAGCUGCUGGAUCUCUGUUGAUUGUAGCUGCUGCCGUGACUUACCUCAUCUGCAAGAAAUGUAAAAAAACAGUCCAGACACAGGAAGAAGACAGAACUGAUUCAGCCUUGUGUAAAACAAAAUCACAAAAAGCGGUAAGAUCAUUUGUGAUUGUGUUGCAGAAAGACAUGUUGCAGUCAGUUAUGCUGAUUUA